rnacentral:lncRNA from 1 species
GCCAGGCGAAUAAGUACCGUAUAAACUAAUGUUUACAUGUUGCGAAGCCCAAGAAGUGGGAAGAAAGGCCGCUCCCCUAAAAAAGGUCUAGAAUCUUGUGAGGUUGGAGCUCUGAGUGACCUGAUCCAAACCUGAGUCAGCGAGUGACUGUACCAGAGUUGAACCCCGUAUCCCCAUCACAGGGCUUUCUCUGUGGAGACUUCAUCUUCUGAAACCCAAGUCCAGAGCUCAUAUGGGGUCGCGUUCUCUCUCAAACUUCCCUGUAUAGCCUUGCAUCUGGCAGCCACCCUCUCAGAGAAAGAAGAGCUCCUGUGUGAGUCAUGCCUGUGAGGCUUUUGGGGUAGACCAGAAGCCCGAGCCCCGGGGAGGGCUCCCACAGCCAGUGCUGGACCCACGCCUGUUUCCUGCGGCCCUGUGUGCAGACCCGCUGAAAGAGGGCCAACAGAUCCCAGCCUGGCCUCACCCUGAUCACUGCAGGCCUGAGUACGCCACGUCCCUGCCCCUUCCUUCGUCAGCGGAGCAAAGUGUCUCUGGACGCUUGAACAGAGACCCAGGAAGGUGAGCCUGAGCCAGUUGGAUCUCUGAGCGAAGCUUCCAGGCAGAGGAACUGGCAAGUG